rnacentral:rRNA from 1 species
GAUGACGCUGGCGGCGUGCCUAAUACAUGCAAGUCGAGCGAGCGGCGGACGGGUGAGUAAUGUCUGGGAAAAUGCCCGAUGGAGGGGGAUAACUACUGGAAACGGUAGCUAAUACCGCAUACCAUCGGAUGUGCCCAGAUGGGAUUAGCUAGUAGGUGGGGUAACGGCUCACCUGGGCGACGAUCCCUAGCUGGACUGAGCGGAUGACCAGCCACACGGGAACUGAGACACGUUCCAGACUCCUACGGGAGGCAGCAGUGGGGAAGAUUGCACAAUGGGCGCAAGCCUGAUGCAGCCAUGCCGCGUGUAUGAAGAAGGCCUUCGGGUUGUAAAGUACUUUCAGCGAGGAGGCGUUACUCGCAGAAGAAGCACCGGCUAACUCCGUGCCAGCAGCCGCGGUAAUAC